rnacentral:rRNA from 1 species
AAGAAGUGGGUAGUUUAACCUUUCGGGGAGGACGCUCACCACUUUGUGGUUCAUGACUGGGGUGAAGUCGUAACAAGGUAGCGCUAGGGGAACCUGGCGCUGGAUCACCUCCUUAUACGAUGAU